rnacentral:lncRNA from 1 species
AGUUAUGGCGCUGUGAAUUGUAUUUUAUAGAAAUUAAGGGAUAUAAAACUCAUUGUUUUUAUGGUUGGUUGACGUAAUAAAGGGAAAUAUAAGUAGAACAAUCGAAGGUUUAUACGAAAGAUAUGAAUUAUAUCAUCAAAAGUUAACAAUCAUCACCACCAUCAUGAUCAUCAUCAUCACCACCAUCAUUACCGUCACCACUAACAAAGAUUUCACUCUUACGUUUAAGUGGAAGGUUUACAUCAAGAGUUUGCCAGGGCAGGAUCUAACGUCCUCCAGGCAUUUGCAUACCACGCUGUAUGG